AUGUUGAUGCAAGACUACUUCGCGAACAAUCCUACCUAUCCAUCGAACCUCUUCCGGAGAAGGUAUCGAAUGCGCCGAUCCCUCUUCGUAAAAAUUGUGCAAGCUUGCGAGGCCAAUUCUAGGAUUUUUACUCAAAGGAGAAACGUCGCGGGUUUGUUGGGUUUUAGAGCAUAUCAAAAAAUCUCCGCAUCCAUGCGGGUGAUUGCUUAUUGCGUUCCGUCUGACUGUGCUGACGAGUAUCUUCGCAUUGGCGAAGAUACUACAAUUGAGUUAGUGUGUAGGUUCGCCAAAGUGAUCAUCCGCGUCUUUGGUCCUGUCUAUUUUCGUGCACCCAACGAGGAAGACACCAAAAAAUUGAUGGCAGCAAAUGAGAAACGAGGUUGGCCCAGCAUGCUAGGAAUCAUUGACUGCAUGCAUUGGACUUGGAAAAACUGUCCGAAGGCAUGGCACGGGCAGUAUUGUGGCAAGUCUCGUGAUGCAACAAUUGCGCCAGAGGCCGUUGCAUCUGAGGAUUUAUGGAUUUGGCAUUGUUUUUUGGUAUGUCGGGUACUCUCAACAAUAUCAAUGUGUUGCAACGGCCUCAUUUGUUUGCUAGACUUGCUAGUGAUGAUGCUCCUUCUUGCAACUUCACGGUGA
rnacentral:rRNA from 1 species